GGUCCGGUAGUUCAAUCUGGUUAGAGCACUUGCCUGUCACGCAAGAAGUUGCGAGUUCGAUCCUCGUCCGGACCG
rnacentral:tRNA from 1 species